AACAAGGAAUUCUCUCUCUAGCAAAACUCUUCUUUAAAAAUGAAGGCAAGUGAUAUGGGAAACCACAGCAAAUUUUGAUCAGAAGAGUAAUAUCAACUAACUCCACUUGGACCGCAUGGAAACGAGGAAGGAGAAUACUACAGCAACCUGGAAGCCAGUGAAAAAUGAUGGCAACACUAUCUAAGAUGGUAAAAAAUUGACGAAGAAAAGCUCAUUUCGAACUGUUGAGGAGAGAAAUGUAUUUGCAGAGAGAGCAUGAAAAAUCAUGAACCACUCCAUGGGUUUUGCCUUGUGCAAGUGGAAGCAAGGGAAGAAGAUAAAGAGAUGUUUUUAUGGGGCUUCUCUACUUAACACAAUCCUGAGAUUUAACACAGGAUGGAAAAGAAGGCAUUAUAAAAUUUCAGUAAGGACUGUGACCUCUAGAGAGCAGAGGCUGUAUCUUUUUCAUUUGCAUAUUCUGAGCAUCUAUUACAAUGCUUCAUACAUAUAUAGUGUCUCACUACAUAUUAAUAUUUAUUGUUCAAUAAAUGAAUCCAUGAACUCAUUUUAUGUGAAACUAUGGAAAGUAGGACAAUCUCUCCUACAAGAAAUAUUGAUGGGAUCUUGCCAUGUUGUUCAGGCUGGCCUUGAAUUACUGGACUCGAGUGAUCCUCCAACCUCGGCCUCCUGAGUACAUAUUCCCUGGUCUAUAGAUGAAGAAAUGAAGGUUCAAGAAUACUGGACAUCUGGACUAAUUAAAUGACAACUAAAUGGCAGAAAUGGUAUUUAAGCUCAGGCCUAGCAGAUGCAAAGUCAUGGGCACAUGUCAAGAAAGACGAGAUAUAUCAUUUUUUCCCACAUAGAUCCUGGAUUAUUACUAUCCUUCGAAUUUAUUUCUAUAAUCUCUAAGUCAGGUGGAACAGAGCUAUAAUUUAUUAGAGUGAAACUUUGGAGGUGCAUACAGUAGUCACAUUAUUAUGUUCAUCUCCUACAGGAACAACUUUUGAUUUCAUUUCAUUACAUUGAAAGGUAACUUCAAAUAUGAAAGGAGCCUUUAAUGUUAUAAAUAUGACCAUGAUGAUAAUCAUCACUAUCAUCAUCUAAGGUACUCACAAUCAAUAAUAAGCCUAUACACUUAGAGGUCCAAAUUGAAAUUAAAAAAGGAAGACAAGAUCUAAACUUCAGACAAGCUGAUGAGAAAGCCUGCUUGCUUCUUCCUUCAUUUGGACAGGAAGGUCAAACCAUGUAGGAACCGUCAUCCCAGCUGCAAUCCCUGACCAUAGAAACCCCAAGCCAGUUUUCUUUCCUUGUUUCUCGAGUCAUCUUUGGACUUGCUUGAGAUUUGCCUUGUUCUCCCAGAAAAGCUCAUUAUGGGAGCAAUAAACCUUUCCAUUUCCUCUUGA
ensembl:lncRNA LINC02796 long intergenic non-protein coding RNA 2796